AUACGUAGGGGGCGAGCGUUGUCCGGAAUGAUUGGGCGUAAAGGGCGCGUAGGCGGCCCGGUAAGUCUGGAGUGAAAGUCCUGUUUUUGAGAUGGGAAUUGCUUUGGAUACUGUCGGGCUUGAGUGCAGGAGAGGUAAGUGGAAUUCCCAGUGUAGCGGUGAAAUGCGUAGAGAUUGGGAGGAACACCAGUGGCGAAGGCGACUUACUGGACUGUAACUGACGCUGAGGCGCGAAAGUGUGGGGAGCAAACAGGAUUAGAUACCCUGGUAGUCCACACUGUAAACGAUGAAUGCCAGGUGUAGGGGGUAUCGACCCCUUCUGUGCCGCAGUCAACACAAUAAGCAUUCCGCCUGGGGAGUACGGCCGCAAGGUUGAAACUCAAAUGAAUUGACGGGG
rnacentral:rRNA from 1 species